AAAGUCGUAACAAGGUUUCCGUAGGUGAACCUGCGGAAGGAUCAUUACUGAAUGACAUGCACCUUCUUGUAGUAGACCAUUCAAUGGCCUGCCAUUCAGGAUUUGAUGAUAAUCAACUCGGCUCGUUGCCCAACAUCAGGUAGUGCUUCUCGGCGCCUUGCUGAGUGCGGCACCUGUUUGGGGGACAGGAGAGGUCGAAGUUGGUUCGACGUCGGAUGCUGUUGUGCGGGGCCUUUGGUCUCCUACGUUUCCCUUUUCUUCUUCACCACACAAAAACCUGUCGUCGUAUGGAGUGUUGCACUUAAACAUAUAAUAUAUAACUUUCAACAACGGAUCUCUUGGCUCUC
rnacentral:misc_RNA from 1 species